rnacentral:ribozyme from 1 species
UGCCCAGCAACUCCUAACCCUACCUACCUCCUCGUGGUACCGGCCGGAAACUACGAGCAACCUUGGAGAACCGGUGGGACCUUUGGUCGUAGGCUGACAGGGAAGG